CCCAUUUCCAAGUGUAGCCCAGCUGGGGCUGCAGCAGGACUGACCGAUGACGUUCCUCCCAUCACACCAUCUCCGCAUGCGCAAUGGCCGAGAAUGCCGUAGCACAGUGAGAUUCCUCUAGGAACUGCACAUUUCAAGGAGAAUUGGCGAAUCCAGAAGGGAUUAUUUUCCUCAGUCUCUUGCCUGCGAUUACUUCUGAGUGGCAGCGUUCUGUGGAGUUUCCCUCUCCUUUGGAUAUUUUUCUUGAUCAUCUAGAUAAUAAUCCUAAACUGGUUAAUAAUUGGGAAAGAAAUAUAAUACCCAUGACUGCGGUUUACCCCUCUCUCUAGAGACCUCAGCAAAAUACACGUGUGAGCUCAACUCAAAACAAUGUAGUGGGAGAAGACGGUGGAAGAGUGUAGAAGAAGUAGGGAGAAUGGAAACUCGAUUCCUGCUUGUCUCAUGGCAAACCGUGCCAGCACAGUCCAGAGUCAGGUGUGGGGGUGUAGAGAGAGAAGGCUGGCCAGUGAAAUCCAGAGGUCUCCUGGUUUCUGACUCCCCAUAUCACAGUGCUGGGGUCACAGGCAAACGGUGCUGUUGUCCAGCUUUUGUGCGCAUGCUGGGAAUCCAAACUCAGAUUCCCCUGCUCCUGUGGCAAGUGGUUCUCCAACACCAAGCAUCUCCACAAGGCUUCUUAUCGUUUCUUCAGGCUCUCCUCUAGUCUUCCAUAGAACGUGCACUAGUUUAUUGUGAACUCCAGCCACUCUAUUGUACUGCAGAGCAUCAGAACCCGUUCUCUCUCCCGUGUUGAUUGGUCCCUCCAGGCCUUAAGAGUACUAAAGGAUCAGGCAUGCUCAGUCAGCACAGACAACGGAGAGAAAUAAGCCUCCCAAGAAAACGCAUUGCCCAGGCAGCGUCUGCACAGGAACCAAGAAUCACACAGCCGAGAGUGAGAGCAAGGUAGACUUCAAGCCGAAACUGAACUUCUCACAACCUAAUAGGCUUCUGCAUCCCCUUGGCCAGAUGAUUUACCAUCUCUGACCGUUUCAUCUGAUACGUAGGAGGAAGGAUACUACUAGCUCUGCUGACAUCAGCUUGUAAGUCUAGUUGCAGAGACUCUGAUGUCUUUUUCUGGCUUCUAAGGUCACUGCAUAUACAUGGUAAACACCAGACAAUCAGGCACAGACACAAGCAUACAGACACGCAGACACACAUAUACAUGCACAAACAUGUAUUUAAAAAGUAAAUAAAACUUGAAAACAGUUUACUAAGUAUAAAGGAAACAAGAGAACCAAACAGUUUGCAAACUGGAGUUGCAGGGACAUGCAGCCUUAAGUGAAAUAGGAAGGCCCUCCCUGAAGAAGCCAAGAGAAGGGCUGGCUUAUAUGGAGAAAGUCCCCAACAAGGUUCCCAAUUGGGUCAACCUAUGCAAAUAAGACAUGCAGGCUUCCUCAAGGCCAAUUGGCUAGUUCUAUGUAAAUGAGGGGGCAAUCGUGCUCAUUUCUGAUUGGUUGAGAUUUACAUACAACUAUAGGUUUCAUAGGUCGUAUGAGGGCAGCUGACAGCUGUUUAUCUUGGCAUCUGAAACAGGAAUUUGCCCAGAAUUCGAAGUCGAAGUUGUUCUGCAGUUCUUCCAGGGAUCCAAUUACCUGAGUGACCCCACAAUCGGCAAACGGCUCCAGGGAUCUAUUCUGAAUGCUAAAUGGCACCCUUCUCAGAGACUUGGUUCGACUUAAAGUUCACAAUCCCAAGUGGAAAUAACCAGAAAUCUUGUCACUUGACUGACUCUAGCACUCAACAUCUGCAGUACAAGCUGUGUGCAAAAGGUGAGGAAUAUCCAGUGCUCUGUGCCACAGCUGAAGGGUCAGAUGCUUAAAUAUGAUUGGAGUUGAUUGGGACUCAUGUUAGAAGGCCAUUGUGGUAAACACAUUACCGGAAUGGCUUACUUUAGGGUGCCCAAAGAGUCCUGCUAGCUUGAGCACAGAGAGGUCACCCUUAGCAUACUUAGAAGGCAAUAUCUGUGACCUACCCAGCACCGAUGUCAAACUUAUUAAGAAAUUUACUAAGGCAAUAUUUGUAAGGACAUAAACCUUAAGCCCAGUAUGUCAUUAUACAGCAAUUGUUUAGUGCUAAAAUUGUUUCUAGCUAAAAGCUAGAAUAUGUCAGAGAUAUUAGUAAGCCACACAGAGCCCUGGAUGGGUUCUUGUGUGUGUGUGUUGCUGCUGGCUAUGUGGUAGGCAUGGCCCACUAAAGCACUGAGACCUCUUCUGCUGUGUCUCAUGGCCUUUUGGAUAGAUCCAUUGAGGAGGUUCAGAGCUAGUAAGAGUUUUUUUUGAAUUGUUGAGAUGAAUUGAUUUGUUCACAUGGCCUAACACAAAAACCUUCACAUCCAUUCUCUGCAAACUAGACUCUCUACAAUAAACUUUACAAUAUUUAUUUUGAAGGAUAUUGGUAAGAAGUGUGAGAUUCAAUUUACUCAUUUCUAAAGAAAUUACCUCUAAGAAACUCAUUCUGUAGGGUGCAGUCGGGGCCACCUCACUAUGCUGGAAUGAGCUCUCAGAAAUGAAAAAGUAAUAGAUUCAAUGACAUUCUAAAAAAAAAUGUCAAUUUGACUAGGGAUGGCAAGGAGCGUAUUUCAAACACAAUGAGAAGGAAAUAGUACUUCUGAGUGUACCUUUAUCACUUAAUCCUGGUGGGAUAAAGGAAGAAAUAUCAAUUGACGUUAUUGAAGGUAGGCAAAAUAAUACCGAAAACCUACUGCAACAGUAUUGAAGUAACAGAGUUCUCCAGGUGAAGUGCUUCUGUCUGCCUUCAGAGCCCACGUAGUAUGAGAAGACACUGACAUCAAAUGCAGAGGGAAGGGUCUUAGUCUUUCAGACUCCUAUUAGGGAAGAACUGAAUUAUAACAUAUGUUAUUCAUUAUGCAUUCUUCAUGUCAAAGAUAAUCAGUACUACAUAUUUUUACAUCGA
rnacentral:lncRNA from 1 species